rnacentral:rRNA from 1 species
GAUGAACGCUGGCGGCGUGCCUAAUACAUGCAAGUCGAGCGAACAGAUAAGGAGCUUGCUCCUUUGAAGUUAGCGGCGGACGGGUGAGUAACACGUGGGUAACCUACCUAUAAGACUGGGAUAACUUCGGGAAACCGGAGCUAAUACCGGAUAACAUUUAGAACCGCAUGGUUCUAAAGUGAAAGAUGGUUUUGCUAUCACUUAUAGAUGGACCCGCGCCGUAUUAGCUAGUUGGUAAGGUAACGGCUUACCAAGGCGACGAUACGUAGCCGACCUGAGAGGGUGACAGGCGACAGUGGAAGUGAGACACGGUCCAGAAGCGGAAGGGAGGGAGCAGGAGGGAGGUGGAAGAAAGGGGAGAAAGUCUGACGGAGAAAAGACGCGUGAGAGAUGAAGGUAUUAGGAGAGUAAAACUCCGUUAUUAGGGAAGAACAAAUGGGGAAGGAAAUAGGCACGUAUUGACGGGACCUAAUAAGAAAGAAACGGAGAACUACGUG